GAGAUGAGUUCUCCCUGAGACUUUAAGUCUCCUGAAGGAACGUUGAAGACGACGACGUUGAUAGGUCGGGUGUGUAAGCGCAGCGAUGCGUUGAGCUAACCGAUACUAAUGAACCGUGAGGCUUAACCUU
rnacentral:rRNA from 1 species